rnacentral:rRNA from 1 species
UAGGGAAUUUUCCACAAUGGACGAAAGUCUGAUGGAGCAACGCCGCGUGCAGGAUGAAUGCCUUCGGGUUGUAAACUGCUUUUAUAUGUGGCGAAUAUGACGGUAGCAUAUGAAUAAGGAUCGGCUAACUCCGUGCCAGCAGCCGCGGUCAUACGGAGGAUCCAAGCGUUAUCCGGAAUUACUGGGCGUAAAGAGUUGCGUAGGUGGCAUAGUAAGUAGAUAGUGAAAGCGUGGGGCUCAACCUCAUAUCCAUUAUCUAAACUGCUAAGCUAGAGGGCGAGAGAGGUAACUAGAAUUCCUUGUGUAGGAGUGAAAUCCGUAGAUAUAAGGAGGAAUACCGAUGGCGUAGGCAGGUUACUGGCUCGUCCCUGACACUAAGGCACGAAAGCGUGGGGAGCAAAC